GUGGGGAUGUAUAUUCUGCCAGGUCCAGUCUGUUUUUAUUGGACAUUGUUACUGCUGUGUAUCUAUCUGAUAAGUAAAGCCCUUUUCAAUUGAUUUUUAUAGCUUGUUCUUGUGUUGUACGAUUGCACCAGUGUCCUAUAUAAAUCAUGCAGUUAUUUUUCUCAUUGAAAUUGUUUUACAUUUUUCAUUUUGGGGGCUUUUUAU
rnacentral:lncRNA from 1 species